rnacentral:sRNA from 1 species
GAGCGUCCUCCUUUUGUGCGAGCGCCGGCGGCUCGGCUUCUCGAAGGAGAAGAAACUGAGGCCUGGAAUUUGAUUAAUUCUUUCAAGGUUACCCAGUUGGUAAGUAACAGAGCUGGAAUUUGACCAUGGUCAUCUGGCUCCAGAGCCAGCACUCUUAACCACACUUCCUAUGAGGAAAAAUUAAAGUGGAUGGUGAUGGCUACAAGAUGGAUUUCAGUUGCAUAGAAAUAAGAACCUCCUACCUCUGUUGAAAUCAGAAUACAUAUACAUCCCUUCAUUCACUCUAUGAAUAUUCAUUCACUCCAUGAACCUACAAGGUUUUUAGGUCAAAUUAUUAGUUUAAAUAAGAACUACAGGCUGGGCGCAGUGGCUCACACCUGUAAUCCCAACACUUUGGGAGGCUGAGGUGGGUGGAUCACUUGAGGUCAGGGGUUCAAGACCAGCCUGGCCAACAUGGUGAAACCCUGUCUCUACUAAAAAUACAAAACUUACUAAAAAUACAAAAUACUCGCUUGAACCCAGGA